CCUAGAACCCACAAAGGG
rnacentral:snRNA from 1 species